GCCUGCUCCUAGUACGAGAGGACCGGAGUGGACGCACCUCUGGUGUACCUGUUGUCACGCCAGUGGCAUCGCAGGGUAGCUAAGUGCGGAAGAGAUAACCGCUGAAAGCAUCUAAGCGGGAAACUCGUUUCAAGAUGAGAUCUGCCGGGGCCUUGAGCCCCCUGAAGAGUCGUUCUAGACCAGGACGUUGAUAGGCUGGGUGUGGAAGCGCAGCAAUGCGUUAAGCUAACCAGUACUAAUUGCUCGUGCGGCUUGACCCUAUAACUUUG
rnacentral:rRNA from 1 species